CCUUGCCAGCCCGCUCAGAAACUUAAAGGAAUUGACGGGGGCCCGCACAAGCGGUGGAGCAUGUGGUUUAAUUCGAUGAUACGCGAGGAACCUUACCUGGGCUCAAAUGUAUGUUGACGUAUUCUGAAAGGGAUACUUCUUCGGACAAUAUACAAGGUGCUGCAUGGUUGUCGUCAGCUCGUGCCGUGAGGUGUCGGGUUAAGUCCCAUAACGAGCGCAACCCCUAUCAUUAGUUGCCAUCAGGUCAAGCUGGGGACUCUAAUGAAACUGCCUACGCAAGUAGUGAGGAAGGUGGGGAUGACGUCAAAUCAGCACGGCCCUUACGUCCAGGGCUACACACGUGCUACAAUGGCCGGUACAAAGGGCAGCUACCUGGUGACAGGAUGCUAAUCUCAAAAGCCGGUCUCAGUUCGGAUCGGAGUCUGCAACCCGACUGCAUGAAGUUGGAAUCGCUAGUAAUCGUGGAUCAGCCAAGCCGCGGUGAAUACGUUCCCGGGCCUU
rnacentral:rRNA from 1 species